GCGGGCGUCGUAUAACGGCUAUUAUCUGGCCCUUCCAAGGCCAUGAUGAGGGUUCGAUUCCCUUCGCCCGCU
rnacentral:tRNA from 1 species